GAUGAACGCUGGCGGCGUGCUUAACACAUGCAAGUCGAACGGAAAGGCCCAAGCUUGCUUGGGUACUCGAGUGGCGAACGGGUGAGUAACACGUGGGUGAUCUGCCCUGCACUUCGGGAUAAGCCUGGGAAACUGGGUCUAAUACCGGAUAGGACGAUGGUUUGGAUGCCAUUGUGGAAAGUUUUUUCGGUGUGGGAUGAGCUCGCGGCCUAUCAGCUUGUUGGUGGGGUAAUGGCCUACCAAGGCGUCGACGGGUAGCCGGCCUGAGAGGGUGUACGGCCACAUUGGGACUGAGAUACGGCCCAGACUCCUACGGGGGGCAGCAGUGGGGAAUAUUGCACAAUGGGCGCAAGCCUGAUGCAGCGACGCCGCGUGGGGGAUGACGGCCUUCGGGCUGUAAACUCCUUUCGCUAGGGACGAAGCGUUUUUGUGACGGUACCUGGAGAAGAAGCACCGGCUAACUACGUG
rnacentral:rRNA from 1 species